GACGAACGCUGGCGGCGUGCUUAACACAUGCAAGUCGAACGGAAAGACCCUGCUUUUGUGGGGUGCUCGAGUGGCGAACGGGUGAGUAACACGUGAGUAACCUGCCCUUGACUUUGGGAUAACUUCAGGAAACUGGGGCUAAUACCGGAUAGGAGCUCCUGCUGCAUGGUGGGGGUUGGAAAGUUUCGGCGGUUGGGGAUGGACUCGCGGCUUAUCAGCUUGUUGGUGGGGUAGUGGCUUACCAAGGCUUUGACGGGUAGCCGGCCUGAGAGGGUGACCGGCCACAGUGGGACUGAGAUACGGCCCAGACUCCUACGGGAGGCAGCAGUGGGGAAUAUUGCACAAUGGGCGGAAGCCUGAUGCAGAAACGCCGCGUGCGGGAUGACGGCCUUCGGGUUGUAAACCGCUUUCGCCUGUGACGAAGCGUGAGUGACGGUAAUGGGUAAAGAAGCACCGGCUAACUACGUG
rnacentral:rRNA from 1 species